GGUUAUGCCGUUGAUUGUCUUCGACAUAACGAUUCAACUUAUGUUCGGCAUUAACAUUCAACAUAAAUGUUUAUGCCGUUGAAUAUAUUCGGCAUAAACAUUCAACUUAGAUGUUUAUGCCGUUAAAUAUGUUCGGCAUAAACAUUCAACUUAGAUGUUUAUGCCGUUGAUUCUGUUGAAAGGUUAUGCCGAUGACAAUCAACCGCAUAACC